rnacentral:rRNA from 1 species
GACAGAGGGUGCGAACGUUGUUCGGAAUUACUGGGCGUAAAGCGCAUGUAGGCGGCAGCGCAAGUCGGGCGUGAAAUCCCACGGCUCAACCGUGGAAGUGCACUCGAAACUGCGCAGCUAGAGUCCUGGAGAGGAAGGUGGAAUGCUUGGUGUAGAGGUGAAAUUCGUAGAUAUCAAGCGGAACACCGGUGGCGAAGGCGGCCUUACUGGGACAGUGACUG